GUGCCACUUCAGCAGCACAGACACUGAAGUUGGAACGAUACAGAGGAGAGUAGCGUGGCCCCUGGGCACCGAUGACGUGCAGACUCAUGAAGUGUUUUGCAGUCUU
ensembl:snRNA U6 U6 spliceosomal RNA